rfam:Oryza glumipatula chromosome 4, whole genome shotgun sequence.
AAAAAAACAAACCCUGAAUUUUCGUGUCCAACAUUUGACUGUCUAUCUUAUAAUUUUUUUAUAAUUAGUAUUUUCAUUAUUGUUAUAUGAUAAAAUAUGAUUAAUACUUUAUGCGUGACUUGUCUUUUUAAUUUUUUUCAUAAUUUUUUCAAAUAAGACGGACGGUCAAACGUUGGACACGGAAACCCAGGGUUUGUCUUUUU